AUAAAGCUGCCAGUGCCAAAAAUACCGUAGCUUCAAAGCUUGGAUAUGGUGCUGAAACAACUCAUCAAGAAGAAAAACCAUCAACAAUCUCUUCAGCAACCUCUGCAAUAGCUGAUAAAGCUGCCAGUGCCAAAAAUACCGUAGCUUCAAAGCUCGGAUAUGGUCCUGAAACAACUCAUCGGGAAGAAGAAAAACCUUCCGUAAUCUCUUCGGCAACCUCUGCAAUAGCUGAUACAGCUGUCUCAGCCAAAAAUACCGUAGCUUCCAAGCUCGGUUAUGACACUGAAACAACUCAAGCAAAGCAUCACGAAGAAAAACCAUCAACAAUCUCUGCAGCAACCUCUGCAAUAUCUGAUAAAGCUGCCUCAGCCAAAAAUGCAGUAGCUUCAAAGCUUGGAUACGGUGCCAACACAGAAACAACACAAACAAAGAAUUACCAAGAAAAUCCAAGCAAUCAACAGCAAUCAACAAUCUCUUCAGCAACCUCUGCAGUAGCUGAUAAAGCUAUCUCGGCCAAAAACACCGUAGCUUCCAAGCUCGGGUUCGGUGACACAACAACAGCACAUGAAGAGAGGAGAAGAGAGCAUGCUGCUGCACCAACUGAAUAUGGAAAGAGUGUUGCUCAGUCUC
rnacentral:lncRNA from 1 species